GAUGAACGCUGGCGGCGUGCCUAAUACAUGCAAGUCGAACGAAGAUCUAGCUUGCUAGAUCUUAGUGGCGAACGGGUGAGUAAUACAUAAAUAAUCUGCCCAUUGGACUGGGAUAACUAUUGGAAACGAUAGCUAAUACCGGAUAGGUGAUUUGAAGGCAUCUUCGAAUCAUUAAAGUAGGGUCACUACACCAAUGGAUGAGUUUAUGGCGCAUUAGUUAGUUGGCGGGGUAACGGCCCACCAAGACGAUGAUGCGUAGCCGACCUGAGAGGGUGACCGGCCACACUGGGACUGAGACACGGCCCAGACUCCUACGGGUGGCAG
rnacentral:rRNA from 1 species